rnacentral:tRNA from 1 species
GCGAAGGUGGCGGAAUUGGUAGACGCACUGGAUUUAGGUUCCAGCGCCGCAAGGCGUAGGAGUUCGAGUCUCCUCCUUCGCACCA